rnacentral:lncRNA from 1 species
UUUAACAGAAAAUCCUUCAAAGACUCAAUCAACAAGACAAGACUCACACAAUGGAAGGAUAGUCCCUGCUCAUGAGAGAUGAAGCUGGAAAGGCAAGCUGCAUCUGCACAUCUCCACCAGGGCAAUGCUGUGAGAUGUGGGUGCGAGUCACCCUGGGGAAAUGCAAGACUGAGAUUCAGCCCUACAACAAGAGGCACAGCUGCCACAGAAACACAUUGCCCACUGGUGUGGAGACAAGAAAUGAGAUAGUGUGUUGGUCCAAGAAUUCCUGCCAAUGUGGUAAUGAAGAAAUGACCUGGACACCCCUCAGCUAAUCUCAAGAGCAGCCUACCACCAUGACAAAGGCUGUCGGGAUCCCUGCAUUAGAUCCCCUUGCCACUACACAGAAGACUCGAACACAUGCUCUCCCUUUCCUUGCCUUGAAGUGUCCUCCUAGAACCUGCUAUGGCACGCAAGAAAAAAUACAGUCUGCAGAGUCUACUUCCAAUAUCACAAACAAGGAGAAGCAGAGGGAGUAUGGAACUGAGAAUCAGUAAAUUAAUAAACCUCAGAGUCCAUCCUUUGGUUGACUUAGCAUCCAUGAGUACUCUUCUACACAUGCUUUCUAUUUUAAAAAAAAAAUCAAUGUUUUUACUUUACAAGAGGCAGCUAACCUCUAUAGAAGUGUCCAGGCUCACACAUUCUCCCCCAAAUGAGAAAACACACAUUCCAGACAGUCAUUGUAUUAAUUGCUGGCUAUAUUAUUUACUUCUCAAAAUUAAUCACAGUGCCAAUAAAUAUUCUGGUACUAAAUAAUAAUGUGAAAUUUAACCUGUAGAAAACUUGUGAUAUGGUUGCUGCUGUGUCCCCACCCAAAUCUCAUCUCGAAUUGUAAUCCCCAUGUGUCAAGGGAGGGACCUGGUGAGGGGUGGUUAAAUCAUGAGGGUUGUUUUCUUCCAUGAUGUUCUCAUGAUAUGAGGGAGUUCUCAUGGGAUCUGAUGGUUUAAAAGUGGCAAUUUCCCCUGGGCUCUCUCUCUCUCUCUCUCUCCUGCUGCCUUGUGAAGAAGGUACCUGCUUCCCCUUCGCCUUCCACCAUGAUUGUAAGUUUCAUGAGGCCUUCAGAGCCAUGAGGAACUGUGAAUCGAUUAAACCUCUUUCCUUCAUAAA